ensembl:lncRNA
GGGGGGGGGGGGGGGGGGGGGGGGGGGGGGGGGGGGGGGGGGGGGGGGGGGGGGGGGGGGGGGGGGGGGCCGCCGCCCGAGUCUCCUCCUCCCGCUGCCCGGCCCCGCCUCGUUUGGGAUCCUGUGCCGGGACUGGGGUGUCGCCUGUCCCCUGUGUUGUCCCUCCAAGGGGCUCCUGGGCCCGCUGCUCUCCGACGGGGCCUCCGGGAAUCGGCCGGUGGUGCCCUGGCCCGGAGAGGGGUCACAGAAUCGUCGGAUCAGGAUGGUUUGUAUCGAAAGGGACCGUAAAGAUCACCUCGUUCCACCCCCACCGCCUCCUCUCUCUGGACUCGCUCCAGCAUCUCCGUGUCCGUGCUGUGCUGGGGUGCCCGGAGCUGGGUGCACUGUUCCGGGUGGGGCGGAAUCCCCGCCCUGGGCUCGCUGCCCGCGCUGCUGCUGGGGCAGCCAGGCUGUGGGUCCCUGCUCGGUGCCGUGAGCCCGACCCGAACCACCGAGCAGCCUGGGACAGUGCGUAUCGCCGGUGUGCUCCCGUCUGUCCCUCCCAGGCGGGGAGCGAGGCAGGGAGGCUCCCAGUGGACAAGGAUGGGGAGGAUGAGCCCCUCGUGCUUCCUCCGCUAACUUUUCCAUGGAAAGCAAAUUCCCCAGACGCUCCAAGCCUGUGGAGGUGGUGGCUUCAGGCAGAGCAUCAAAUGCUCCAACACUUUGGAUUUGACAUCUAUCAACUCUGCAGCUUGAUUACAGGAAUGCCCCUGGAUGCCUCCCCACUUGGAUCCCCUAAUUUGCUGUCUGAGACUGGGGCCAGGCUAGAGCUCCUCUGGGGUAAAAUACCUGGUGGGGUUGGGUGGGCACUGGGGCCUCAGCACAAACUACUCUCCAGGUUGCUCUGCCCAGUACAGUUGGAGCCUGAGUAUGCUUGGGCUCAAUAAUCUGUUUUGCCAAAAAAUGAAAAAGAAAGAUGGUAACAAAAACAAAGGCAGUUUCAUCAGAGCAACUGCAGUUUAAUAGCCUAAGGAAUUCUUAGAUUUCCACACGUGAAGUGAUUAAAAUACUAACACUACUCUGUUUAAAGACGAACAUCAGGAAAGGAGUGCUUUAAUCUGACAGUGAUAAUUGCUGUAGUUUGUCUAUGCUGCAAGGCUUUGGUGAGAGUUCAGCAUUCCAAUGUACUGGAACAAUAAAGAGACCUGAAGCAGAUCUUAAUAGGUCAAGUAUCUCUUGCUUUCCCUUUGUGUCUUGUCCUUGUAGCUGCUCAUUUCCAAGACACUGGCCUUCGUUUAGGUAUUCCUGUGAGUAUAAGGUCUGUACUGGUAUGAGAGCCUUGCUCAAGAAGCUGCUGCCAGCAGAAGCGUGAAUGCAGCUGCAGCUUCUCCAUCAGCUGUCCCAACAGCACCCUGCCCACGGGUCACAGCCUCGGGCCUGGGCAGCCUUUUGGAGCCAUUCCAAGCUGCAUGGCCACAGUGCAGGAAUGUGGUGAUUGUGGUGACAAAUCCUCCUUGCUGGGUUGUCUCCUCAGCGUGAGAGAUGAAGUGUCAGUAGUAGGUGCCAUCAGUGACUGCAGCUGUGGUGUCCGAGUUAGUACAGGCAAGAAUCCUGUUUGGUUCCCUGGCAUCAGUGGGACCUCAAACUGCUUUCCUGUUCUUCCUGAUGGUGCAUGUGAAAUUCCAUCUGUUCAAACAAUAUAACCACUGGUGUUGGCAGAAUUUUUACUUUGUCUUGCCUGUCUACUGUACAGAGUUCUUGCAGUGGGCACUGAGCAGGCGUGCCUGCAAUGCUGCUUUUCCUCUGACAUCCAGCUCCUGAGUGUCCAAACUGCCCUGAGAAAGGCAAGAGAUUUAACAGCUCACACAGUCUGCAACUUACAGCUCAAAUUUAGACAAAAGUGUGAGCAUAAGUACCUGUGGGAAUGCAUCCUUCAUGUCCAGUUUGAAAUGAGCCUUGGAAAAAUGCCAGCACCCAAGUGUGCACUCAGCCAGGCUCCAAUUUGCUCUGGAGUUUUUCUGUGCAGGUAACACUCAUUCUUCGGGUUUGAUAGAAUGACAGCAAUGUGAAAUCACCCAAAAGACUGGGGCUUGAAAGGCAGAUUCAAGGCAACUUUAAAAAAAAAAUGAAUUCCUA